ACCUGGGUGGUCAAAUGGUUCAAGACGGCGGGUUCUGACCCCGUAAGUGCAGGUUCGAUUCCUGCCCCAGGUU
rnacentral:tRNA from 1 species